GACGAACGCUGGCGGCGUGCCUAAUACAUGCAAGUUGAGCGCUGAAGGUUGGUACUUGUACCAACUGGAUGAGCAGCGAACGGGUGAGUAACGCGUGGGGAAUCUGCCUUUGAGCGGGGGACAACAUUUGGAAACGAAUGCUAAUACCGCAUAAAAACUUUAAACACAAGUUUUAAGUUUGAAAGAUGCAAUUGCAUCACUCAAAGAUGAUCCCGCGUUGUAUUAGCUAGUUGGUGAGGUAAAGGCUCACCAAGGCGAUGAUACAUAGCCGACCUGAGAGGGUGAUCGGCCACAUUGGGAAUGAGACACGGCCCAAACUCCUACGGGAGGCAGCAGUAGGGAAUCUUCGGCAAUGGACGAAAGUCUGACCGAGCAACGCCGCGUGAGUGAAGAAGGGUUUCGGAUCGUAAAACUCUGUUGGUAGAGAAGAACGUUGGUGAGAGUGGAAAGCUCAUCAAGUGACGGUAACUACCCAGAAAGGGACGGCUAACUACGUG
rnacentral:rRNA from 1 species